AAAGGGCAUGGGUCUCAACAGAUAAUCGCAUAUUGCAAGACAAAGAAGAGAGCCUAGGAUCUUCCGGAUAUUUCUUCUGAACACAGAAACUCAUACCGGUUUGGAACAACUUGAGGAUGGUCUUUGGAGAUUGCAUUAAAGUUGCAUUAAAACCCUGACGUCCUCCUUCAUUGCCAUACAAAGUGGGUUGGAACAAAUGUCAUUCUGUAUUUGGAGGAGGAGGAGGAGCAACAAAGGUGAUACCCUCAUGUCCUGCAGUUUUGGGAUAAAAUCCAUCCUUCAUUAUUGUGGGAGAAAUGGCACUGA